rnacentral:rRNA from 1 species
AUGAACGCUGGCGGCGUGCCUAAUACAUGCCAGUCGAGCGCACAGACGAGGAGCUUGCUCCUCUGACGUUAGCGGCGGACGGGUGAGUAACACGUGGAUAACCUACCUAUAAGACUGGGAUAACUUCGGGAAACCGGAGCUAAUACCGGAUAAUAUAUUGAACCGCAUGGUUCAAUAGUGAAAGACGGUUUUGCUGUCACUUAUAGAUGGAUCCGCGCCGCAUUAGCUAGUUGGUAAGGUAACGGCUUACCAAGGCAACGAUGCGUAGCCGACCUGAGAGGGUGAUCGGCCACACUGGAACUGAGACACGGUCCAGACUCCUACGGGAGGCAGCAGUAGGGAAUCUUCCGCAAUGGGCGAAAGCCUGACGGAGCAACGCCGCGUGAGUGAUGAAGGUCUUCGGAUCGUAAAACUCUGUUAUUAGGGAAGAACAAAUGUGUAAGUAACUAUGCACGUCUUGACGGUACCUAAUCAGAAAGCCACGGCUAACUACGUG